rnacentral:rRNA from 1 species
GACGAACGUUGGCGGCGUGCUUAAUACAUGCAAGUCCACUGAAGCAGUGGUAGCAAUAUCGCUGUGGAGGUGGCGCACGGGUGAGUAACACGUAGGUAAUCUGCCUUCAGGUCUGGCAUAACUCCGGGAAACCGGGGCUAAUAGCAGAUGAUGCAGCGGCUCGACAUCGAGACAGUUGUUAAAGCUAUGGCGCCUGAAGAUGAGCCUGCGUCUGAUUAGCUAGUUGGCGGGGUAACGGCCCACCAAGGCAACGAUCAGUAGCUGGUCUGAGAGGAUGAUCAGCCACACUGGAACUGAGACACGGUCCAGACUCCUACGGGAGGCAGCAGUAAGGAAGAUUGCUCAAUGGGAGAAAUCCUGAAGCAGCAACGCCGCGUGAGGGACGAAGGGCUUUGGCUUGUAAACCUCUGUAGUGAGAGAAAAAAAUCCCAAUCUUUGGGACAUGAUGGUAUCUCAAAAGUAAGCCCCGGCUAACUACGUG